UGAUAGGAUCAUAAUUCAAAUCAAGUGCCUCAUCAAAUCACUUAUACGUAGUAGUAAUUAAUUAUUGCACAUCAACGAUGAAGGAAGUUGCGCAACUACUGUGUUAGAUGUCGCUUUGCUUCAUAUUUACAUUAUUAUUAUAAACAAAGUCUGAAGUCUCUAUUUAAAGAGUGACGUCACCUAGGAUCCUUUGAUUGUCAAAGGGGCUCUAUUUACCCGGAGGAUAUCGAGUUGUACUCAUGGAAUCUGAUCCAUCUGUCUUACAUGUAUUAGUUGUUGGAUUUCAUCACAAAAAAGGAUGUAUUGUGGAAUACUCAUGGCCUCCCAUGAUACCGGGUGGGAAGCCUCAAGGACCGGAGCUUCCUUCCCAAUGGCGGCAUCUCCCAAGUCUCUCCUUGCCUGACGGUUCUCACAAUUAUCGACAGGAUGCCUCCGUUUUCCAUUUACCAGAUCUGCACGACCCACGUAAAACCGUCUUUGGAAUAUCCUGUUAUAGACAAAUCGAAUCAGACAAGUUAUACAAUAAAUCUACUGAGAUUACGCGUUCCUCUGUUCAAAAAGCUCUUUGUGUUUUGAGUCGUUUACCUCUGUAUGGUCAAAUUCGUGUCAAAAUGUCUCUCAUUACCGAGGCGUACUUCAGAGAAGCAGAUUUUACUCGAUGGGAUUUAAUUCAUCAAACAUAUGAUAAUUUAAACGCUUGCUUGGAGGAUAGUAUGCUCUAUACGCAGCAAUUAUAUGUGGGAUUAUCCGCUCGUAAUUUAGUGGCUCGUUUUAAACAACGAACUUUAGUAUUAUUCAAAUUGUUACUGUUGGAGAGAAAAAUUCUUUUCUUUUUGAGCCCUGUCGAGGAAUUAACAGAAAUAUUUUUAACUCUGUUGUCAUUACAUCCAGGAAUGUUGGAGUCAGGGUUAGGAGAGGCAGCACGAAUGGUUCCUGCAGAGACCCCUACUUCAUCACCCAUUCCACCCUUACCAAAUUCUCUUAGGGCUAAGUUGAAACCAAAGGAAGAAACUAAUGAUGAAGAAGAACCCGAAGCACAAGUGGAAAUCCCUAGUUUAUCUCAUAUUUUGAACCUAUCGACCAAAGACUUGAAUCUCCCAUUGAAAAUAUUUACGGAAGGAAAUCUCUGUCAUCCCUAUCUUUGUCUUCCAUUUUUAGAUGUGUUGUCCGAUCCGAGUAUUCGCGGCUACUUCAUUGGUGCGACGAAUAUAUUGUUUAAGCAGAAACGAGGGAUCUAUGACGUACUAGUGGAUAUCCAAGCCGACAAUAAAAUCGAAAUAUCCGACCCAGAGCUCAAAAAGUAUCUUGCUCUCACUACUGAGGAUCUAAGAUUUAUGGAUAAUAUUGUAAAACAUGUAUCUGAAGAGAAUGUAGAUGUUUUUAUGGAUGGAGUUGGAUGGGAAGGCGGGGAUGAGUGGGUAAGAGCGCAAUUUCGCUUAUACUUGGUUUGCUUAUUGAGAUCCUCAUUGGAAGAUGUUCCUGAAUUCAACUCCAGUUUUCUUACUGCAUGGAAAAAGACGAAUAAUUACAAAUACUGGAUCGAGUCUGCACCCGCUACACUCGGUGAUUUCCCCAUCGGUCACCCUUAUAGUGGACAGUACUCUGUCUCAGAUAUGAAAUUGCAUUUAACUAAUAGCAUUACAAAUAGUGAAGGAGGGAAGAGAGUGAGCGCAGCUGUUGCAAAUACAGGUAAGGCCGUGGCCGGAGGCCUAUCCUCAGCUAAGGGAGCCUUUUCAUCCUGGAUUGGGUCAUUCAAAUUCGAUGCAUCACUGGAAAAUUACGAGGAUGAAGAGAAAGAUCAUACUAACGUGGUGAUUCCUAAUAACGAGAAAUAAAUGCAUAGUUACUUUAUUGACACGUCGAGGAAUGAAUUUCUUAUAUUUGUCGCACUUUUCACUCAAAGCAAACAACAUAUUUACUACUAGUUCUUUUAUGGAAAUAUUAUACCUUCUAUCAUCGUCUGUGUGCUGUAUUUUUGUCAUAAUGAAUAUAAAUUAUUUUAGUUGAGUCUACAUCACUCUUGUUGUCUUUUUCUCCUGUUUUUAUAGUUUUAUUAUUGUUUUCCAGUUUUGAUAUUAAAAAAAAUUGCUAACAAUAUAUAAUAAUAUAUUUAAUAAACACUAUGAUAUACUUAUAUAUAUAUAUA
rnacentral:misc_RNA from 1 species